GGCUAAAAGUCGGAGGAAGGUGGGGAAUGACGUCAAACCAUCAUGCCCCUUAUGACCUGGGCUACACACGUGCUACAAUGGGCGGUACAAAGGGUCGCGAACCCGCGAGGGGGAGCCAAUCCCAAAAAGCCGCUCUCAGUUCGGAUUGCAGGCUGCAACUCGCCUGCAUGAAGCCGGAAUCGCUAGUAAUCGCGGAUCAGCAUGCCGCGGUCGAAUACGUUCCGGGCCUU
rnacentral:rRNA from 1 species